rnacentral:rRNA from 1 species
AAAGGGCGCGUAGGCGGCUUUAUAAGUCAGAUGUGAAAUCCCUGGGCUUAACCUAGGAAUGGCAUUUGAAACUGUAAGGCUAGAGAUCGAGAGAGGAUAGUGGAAUUGCGAGUGUAGAGGUGAAAUUCGUAGAUAUUCGCAAGAACACCGGUGGCGAAGGCGGCUAUCUGGCUCGAUACUGACGCUAAGGCGCGAAAGCGUGGGGAGCAAACAGGAUUAGAUACCCUGGU